UACAGGGGGGGCAAGCGUUGUUCGGAAUUACUGGGCGUAAAGGGUUCGUAGGUGGCCAACUAAGUCAAACGUGAAAUCCCUCAGCUUAACUGGGGAACUGCGUCUGAUACUGGAUGGCUUGAGUGCAGGAGAGGAACGCGGAAUUCCAGGUGUAGCGGUGAAAUGCGUAGAUAUCUGGAGGAACACCGGUGGCGAAGGCGGCGUUCUGGACUGCAACUGACACUGAGGAACGAAAGCCAGGGGAGCAAACGGG
rnacentral:rRNA from 1 species